GACGAACGCUGGCGGCGUGCCUAAUACAUGCAAGUAGAACGCACAGUUUAUACCGUAGCUUGCUACACCAUAAACUGUGAGUUGCGAACGGGUGAGUAACGCGUAGGUAACCUGCCUGGUAGCGGGGGAUAACUAUUGGAAACGAUAGCUAAUACCGCAUAAUAUUGAUUAUUGCAUGAUAAUUGAUUGAAAGAUGCUAUUGCAUCACUACCAGAUGGACCUGCGUUGUAUUAGCUAAUAGGGGAGGUAACGGCUCACCUAGGCGACGAUACAUAGCCGACCUGAGAGGGGGAUCGGCCACACUGGGACUGAGACACGGCCCAGACUCCUACAGGGGGCAGCAGUAGGGAAUCUUCGGCAAUGGACGAAAGUCUGACCGGGCAACGCCGCGGGAGUGAAGAAGGUUUUCGGAUCGUAAAGCUCUGUUGUAAGAGAAGAACGGGUGUGAUAGUGGAAAGUUCACACUGUGACGGUAUCUUACCAGAAAGGGACGGCUAACUACGUG
rnacentral:rRNA from 1 species